rnacentral:rRNA from 1 species
UACGUAGGGUGCGAGCGUUGUCCGGAAUUAUUGGGCGUAAAGGGCUCGUAGACGGUUUGUCACGUCGGGAGUGAAAACUCAGGGCUUAACCCUGAGCCUGCUUCCGAUACGGGCAGACUAGAGGUAUGCAGGGGAGAACGGAAUUCCUGGUGUAGCGGUGAAAUGCGCAGAUAUCAGGAGGAACACCGGUGGCGAAGGCGGUUCUCUGGGCAUUACCUGACGCUGAGGAGCGAAAGUGUGGGGAGCGAACAGG